UCCUGGAGCAAGUUCAGAAUGUAUUUCGUUUAAAGGCAAAGUUAAAAGUUUCACAGAAUAUGGAGUUAAAUGAUAGAACAUACGAACAUUUUUCAGUUGUUAUCUAUGCAACGGGUUACAGAUAUGCAUAUCCAUUUUUAGAUGAUAACACUGGUAUUCGUGUCAAGAAUAAUCUCGUCGAACUGCUUUACAAGCAAAUAUUGAAUAUUGAACAAUGAACAUCCAACGAUGGCAUUUGUCGGGGCACUCAAAACAUUUAUAUUGUUAAUUACUGUUGUUACUACUUAUAUUUACUUCUAUUAUUUUGUAUUAGAUACCAUUUGGAAUGAAGCAUAACCUAAUGUACGUAUCACUUGCAGGCAUGUUUCGCAUUAAAAUUUAUCUCAAAGGCCAGAGAACUACCAUCAAUUGAUGUAAUGACGGAGAACUCAAAAACUCUAUCAACCAAAGAGAAAACUCAUAACCUAGUAUACAGUGCGACGAGUUAUCUUAGAGAAUUAUCUAGAUAAUCAAAAUUUUGCAUUAGUAUACAUCGUGAUUAAACGAUGAUUUACUGAUUCAUUCUUCAUUUGAGAAAGAUUUAAAACCACAUUUAUAUGAAUGAUAUUUUAGGAUACGUAGAAAAUACACACAUACAUUUCACACUGAAAUGUAGUUCGAUAUGA